rnacentral:rRNA from 1 species
UACGUAGGCAGCGAGCGUUGUUCGGAGUUACUGGGCGUAAAGAGUGCGUAGGCGGUUUUCUAAGUUUGGUGUGAAAUCUCCCGGCUUAACUGGGAGGGUGCGCCGAAGACUGGAAGGCUUGAGUAUGGGAGAGGUAAGCGGAAUUCUUGGUGUAGCGGUGAAAUGCGUAGAUAUCAGGAGGAACACCUGCGGUGUAGACGGCUUACUGGACCAUAACUGACGCUGAGGCACGAAAGCGUGGGUAGCAAACAGG